rnacentral:rRNA from 1 species
AAUGAACGCUGGCGGCAGGCCUAACACAUGCAAGUCGAGCGGAUGAAGGGAGCUUGCUCCUGGAUUCAGCGGCGGACGGGUGAGUAAUGCCUAGGAAUCUGCCUGGUAGUGGGGGAUAACGUCCGGAAACGGGCGCUAAUACCGCAUACGUCCUGAGGGAGAACGUGGGGGAUCUUCGGACCUCACGCUCUCAGAUGAGCCUAGGUCGGAUUAGCUAGUUGGUGGUGUAAAGGCCUACCAAGGCGACGAUCCGUAACUGGUCUGAGAGGAUGAUCAGUCACACUGGAACUGAGACACGGUCCAGACUCCUACGGGAGGCAGAAGUGGGGAAUAUUGGACAAUGGGCGAAAGCCUGAUCCAGCCAUGCCGCGUGUGUGAAGAAGGUCUUCGGAUUGUAAAGCACUUUAAGUUGGGAGGAAGGGCAGUAAGUUAAUACCUGGCUGUUUUGACGUUACCAACAGAAUAAGCACCGGCUAACUUCGU